UUAAGCGACUAAGCGUACACGGUGGAUGCCCUGGCAGUCAGAGGCGAUGAAGGACGUGCUAAUCUGCGAUAAGCGUCGGUAAGGUGAUAUGAACCGUUAUAACCGGCGAUUUCCGAAUGGGGAAACCCAGUGUGAUUCGUCACACUAUCAUUAACUGAAUCCAUAGGUUAAUGAGGCGAACCGGGGGAACUGAAACAUCUAAGUACCCCGAGGAAAAGAAAUCAACCGAGAUUCCCCCAGUAGCGGCGAGCGAACGGGGAGCAGCCCAGAGCCUGAAUCAGUGUGUGUGUUAGUGGAAGCGUCUGGAAAGGCGUGCGAUACAGGGUGACAGCCCCGUACACAAAAAUGCACAUACUGUGAGCUCGAUGAGUAGGGCGGGACACGUGGUAUCCUGUCUGAAUAUGGGGGGACCAUCCUCCAAGGCUAAAUACUCCUGACUGACCGAUAGUGAACCAGUACCGUGAGGGAAAGGCGAAAAGAACCCCGGCGAGGGGAGUGAAAAAGAACCUGAAACCGUGUACGUACAAGCAGUGGGAGCACGCUUAGGCGUGUGACUGCGUACCUUUUGUAUAAUGGGUCAGCGACUUAUAUUCUGUAGCAAGGUUAACCGAAUAGGGGAGCCGAAGGGAAACCGAGUCUUAACUGGGCGUUAAGUUGCAGGGUAUAGACCCGAAACCCGGUGAUCUAGCCAUGGGCAGGUUGAAGGUUGGGUAACACUAACUGGAGGACCGAACCGACUAAUGUUGAAAAAUUAGCGGAUGACUUGUGGCUGGGGGUGAAAGGCCAAUCAAACCGGGAGAUAGCUGGUUCUCCCCGAAAGCUAUUUAGGUAGCGCCUCGUGAAUUCAUCUCCGGGGGUAGAGCACUGUUUCGGCAAGGGGGUCAUCCCGACUUACCAACCCGAUGCAAACUGCGAAUACCGGAGAAUGUUAUCACGGGAGACACACGGCGGGUGCUAACGUCCGUCGUGAAGAGGGAAACAACCCAGACCGCCAGCUAAGGUCCCAAAGUCAUGGUUAAGUGGGAAACGAUGUGGGAAGGCCCAGACAGCCAGGAUGUUGGCUUAGAAGCAGCCAUCAUUUAAAGAAAGCGUAAUAGCUCACUGGUCGAGUCGGCCUGCGCGGAAGAUGUAACGGGGCUAAACCAUGCACCGAAGCUGCGGCAGCGACGCUUAUGCGUUGUUGGGUAGGGGAGCGUUCUGUAAGCCUGCGAAGGUGUGCUGUGAGGCAUGCUGGAGGUAUCAGAAGUGCGAAUGCUGACAUAAGUAACGAUAAAGCGGGUGAAAAGCCCGCUCGCCGGAAGACCAAGGGUUCCUGUCCAACGUUAAUCGGGGCAGGGUGAGUCGACCCCUAAGGCGAGGCCGAAAGGCGUAGUCGAUGGGAAACAGGUUAAUAUUCCUGUACUUGGUGUUACUGCGAAGGGGGGACGGAGAAGGCUAUGUUGGCCGGGCGACGGUUGUCCCGGUUUAAGCGUGUAGGCUGGUUUUCCAGGCAAAUCCGGAAAAUCAAGGCUGAGGCGUGAUGACGAGGCACUACGGUGCUGAAGCAACAAAUGCCCUGCUUCCAGGAAAAGCCUCUAAGCAUCAGGUAACAUCAAAUCGUACCCCAAACCGACACAGGUGGUCAGGUAGAGAAUACCAAGGCGCUUGAGAGAACUCGGGUGAAGGAACUAGGCAAAAUGGUGCCGUAACUUCGGGAGAAGGCACGCUGAUAUGUAGGUGAAGUCCCUCGCGGAUGGAGCUGAAAUCAGUCGAAGAUACCAGCUGGCUGCAACUGUUUAUUAAAAACACAGCACUGUGCAAACACGAAAGUGGACGUAUACGGUGUGACGCCUGCCCGGUGCCGGAAGGUUAAUUGAUGGGGUCAGCGCAAGCGAAGCUCUUGAUCGAAGCCCCGGUAAACGGCGGCCGUAACUAUAACGGUCCUAAGGUAGCGAAAUUCCUUGUCGGGUAAGUUCCGACCUGCACGAAUGGCGUAAUGAUGGCCAGGCUGUCUCCACCCGAGACUCAGUGAAAUUGAACUCGCUGUGAAGAUGCAGUGUACCCGCGGCAAGACGGAAAGACCCCGUGAACCUUUACUAUAGCUUGACACUGAACAUUGAGCCUUGAUGUGUAGGAUAGGUGGGAGGCUUUGAAGUGUGGACGCCAGUCUGCAUGGAGCCGACCUUGAAAUACCACCCUUUAAUGUUUGAUGUUCUAACGUUGACCCGUAAUCCGGGUUGCGGACAGUGUCUGGUGGGUAGUUUGACUGGGGCGGUCUCCUCCUAAAGAGUAACGGAGGAGCACGAAGGUUGGCUAAUCCUGGUCGGACAUCAGGAGGUUAGUGCAAUGGCAUAAGCCAGCUUGACUGCGAGCGUGACGGCGCGAGCAGGUGCGAAAGCAGGUCAUAGUGAUCCGGUGGUUCUGAAUGGAAGGGCCAUCGCUCAACGGAUAAAAGGUACUCCGGGGAUAACAGGCUGAUACCGCCCAAGAGUUCAUAUCGACGGCGGUGUUUGGCACCUCGAUGUCGGCUCAUCACAUCCUGGGGCUGAAGUAGGUCCCAAGGGUAUGGCUGUUCGCCAUUUAAAGUGGUACGCGAGCUGGGUUUAGAACGUCGUGAGACAGUUCGGUCCCUAUCUGCCGUGGGCGCUGGAGAACUGAGGGGGGCUGCUCCUAGUACGAGAGGACCGGAGUGGACGCAUCACUGGUGUUCGGGUUGUCAUGCCAAUGGCACUGCCCGGUAGCUAAAUGCGGAAGAGAUAAGUGCUGAAAGCAUCUAAGCACGAAACUUGCCCCGAGAUGAGUUCUCCCUGACUCCUUGAGAGUCCUGAAGGAACGUUGAAGACGACGACGUUGAUAGGCCGGGUGUGUAAGCGCAGCGAUGCGUUGAGCUAACCGGUACUAAUGAACCGUGAGGCUUAACCU
rnacentral:rRNA from 1 species